CAUUUCAUUCGUGUAAACACAUCCAUUGACGCAAAUUUGAAUAAACAUUUUCAUUAGCAAAAUGUCCAUGAGCCCCCGGAGACAGCCAGUGCCUGAUGGCCGAUGUCCAGAUAUCCAUCCUGGCCAGACAAUCACUUGGCUUCAAUUGGUUUUUGACUUGGCAUUUGAAUUUUGGCCUUCAGUAUUCAGUAUUUCCAUACGAUACCGCCCACAGUGAAACUUCCUAGCCAGGCCCAACUAGUAAUUGGCCAUAAUCAUUCGGUAAUGAUCUGGUGGCGGCUCUAAUUGCGGUGUUCCAUUAGGAGUGGGCAGCGGCCAUUGAACUUUGGCGCCGCUCGUUUCGUGAACCCUUCUCCAAAUAUUGGGAAACGAAAUUUGCAAGUGAUAUCGCUGAAAUCGAUAGUUAUUUACACCAUUACACUACACUAAUUUGUGACGUAGUGUCUGAGUUGAUUUUCGUCGUUUUACAAUACUGUGGACUCUAGCCUCAAAAAGAAAAUGCAAAAGUUUAAUAAACAAAUAAUUAUAGAUGUACUAAAUCUUGUGUUCACCCUGGACGUCUCUCUUCCGGACGUCUUUUUGCUGCAAAUUUUGAUAUAUGUACAGCGCCCACGCCGGACGAUCCGCCACCUAAUUAUGAUGUGAGGGACCGCUUGGCCUAUAGGAAACUAGUUUGGCCCACCCAGACGUUUGAACCGGAGGAUCUGCAACCUCGGAACGAUUGAUUAGCAGCUUGGGCAGUAUUAUACAUAUGUGGGAGAUAUCGUGGAUGUCCGCAAGCUGCCACCUGAUAUAAUGGAAGUGUACUACGAUCCCUCAACUUAGGGGAGCAUCGUCGACGGUGCCUCCAACAACCGAGCAGCCGAUCACCUUGAGUUACCUGAGAUCAUGGAGUUAAUGGCACACGAUUGGUGCUGUGCGGCUAGCAGCUUGGGCAGUAUUAUAUGAUGAUAUAUCGUGGAUGUCCUAUAGCUGCCGCCUGAUAUCAUGGAAGUGGACCACGAUCCAUCAACGUAUGGGAGCAUCGUCGAUGAAGCCUCCAACAACCGAUCAGCCGAUGACCUAGAGCUACCUGAGAUCAUGGACUUAAUGGGAAUGGGAAAUCAAUCAAGAAAUCGAGCGGCAACUUUGCUGGGACGGAUGCAAUCACAUCUUCUCGUUGAAAAGUCUCUGGUCAAUGGAGGUGUUCACGCUGCACCAAAAGGCCAAAUAAAUAAUAA
rnacentral:sRNA from 1 species